AGCUGGGUGAGAUAAGUACACCCAGUUACUUCUGCUCAAUGGUUAACUAAAUAGCCGCAGUACCCUGACUGUGCAAAGGUAGCAUAAUCAUUUGGCUUAUAAUUGAAGUCUGGCAUGAAAGAAAUCGUGGGUAACGACUGUCUUUCACAAGUGUAUUAGAAAUUACUGAGUAGGUGAAAAUUCCUAUAGUACUACAUAAGACGAGAAGACCCUAGAAAUUUAUUAGAAGAAGACUUUAUGUUUUUAUUAUUUUGUUGGGGCGACAGAAUAACAAUUAACUUAUUUUAAAUAACUCGAACUACUUGUUGGGAUAGACUAAAUUACUCUAGGGAUAACAGCACAAUACGUAAUUGAGUUUGUGACCUCGAUGUUGGACUAGGGAUUUUAAUGACCAGAAGUUUUUAAAACCGGCUCUGUUCGAGCUGUUUUCCCU
rnacentral:rRNA from 1 species